UAACCGCCGGCAGAAGGAGUGGCUGUGCAGGCGUAUGGUGUCAAAGUGGUAUCCUUUAUUUAUCGCAUCUCCGUUAAUAGGAUAGUACUGUAGGCUUGGGGCCCCUUUUCUUUCUUCUUAAAGAUCCUCGGUGAACAUGGGUGAUAUGUUUCCCAAUCCCAUUCUAAUGCCGUUUCCUCAUAAUCCUUGACUCCCUUAAUAAUCAAGAACCUACCUGUCUCUGUCUUAAAUACACUCAAUGACUUGACCCCACAGUUGAGAUGUUUUCUAAUCAGCCUAUUCAGAGACGCUGUUAGGUGGAGCAGGUGGGAUGUGAGCCCAGGUCUCCAGACUCCGAGGAAGAGACGCUACCGCAGCACCGCAAGAACUCUUACCCGUUGAAGGCAAUGGGAAAGUUACAGAACAGCCAGAAGCUUGCUACAAGCCAAUUUGAUUCACUCCAAAUGAUAUCAAAAAACAACUGAACCUUAUCUACCUGUGCUGCCACCUUCAUACAUACCCAGAGAGGCGUGUCAACCCGUGGAUCUUUCUUCGGUUCUGGAGAAUAUGCCAGCUCAGUGACAUGACCAACUGAUCGACCCUGGUAUUCCGUGAUAAUGGUUCGAAAACCAAGCUAGCUGCCAAGCACUGAGCCUUUUCGAUGAGAGUACUUUAGCAAUGCAUGGGUCCCAAGAGGUCAGACCGCACUUCUUGACUAAGGUUCGGGAUAACAGUUCCAUCGGAGGACUUGAAGACUAAUGGAAGUCCCCUUUUCACAAAGCUGAAUGGGAGUGGGUAAGCACCACAGGGUGGGCGUCGGGCACAACAGUGUGUGGCCUUUCGCGUCAUUUUUAAAACAAAAAGUCGACAACAACUAAAAGGGAAAAAAAACUGCA